GGCUGCACGAUGGCACAGUUGGUAGUACUGUUGCCUUGCAACAAGAAGGUCCUGGGUUCAAUUCCUGGCCGGCAGUCU